GUCUGACGGAGCAACGCCGCGUGAGUGAUGAAGGUUUUCGGAUCGUAAAGCUCUGUUGUUAGGGAAGAACAAGUACCGUUCGAAUAGGGCGGUACCUUGACGGUACCUAACCAGAAAGCCACGGCUAACUACGUGCCAGCAGCCGCGGUAAUACGUAGGUGGCAAGCGUUGUCCGGAAUUAUUGGGCGUAAAGGGCUCGCAGGCGGUUUCUUAAGUCUGAUGUGAAAGCCCCCGGCUCAACCGGGGAGGGUCAUUGGAAACUGGGGAACUUGAGUGCAGAAGAGGAGAGUGGAAUUCCACGUGUAGCGGUGAAAUGCGUAGAGAUGUGGAGGAACACCAGUGGCGAAGGCGACUCUCUGGUCUGUAACUGACGCU
rnacentral:rRNA from 1 species